GAUUCAGUAGUGUAGGGGUAUCAUGGGCGCUUGCCACCUGCAUUCUGCGCCCGACCCGGGUUCAAAUCCCGGCUGAAUCA
rnacentral:tRNA from 1 species